ACUGAAGGAGGGACAUUA
rnacentral:rRNA from 1 species